rnacentral:lncRNA from 1 species
CCGUUUCUCGUCACAAACAAAUAUGAAUAUAUAAUUUUUAUUAAUCAAAUAAAUAUGAAUAUAAAUUAAUUUAAUUUAUAUUCGAUCGAUCGUCAUUUUUAAAAAUUUAUCCAUCGUUCCAUCUGUUCCUCUUCAAAAUUUUUUUUUAUUUUUUUUCUCUCGAUAUUUUUUUGAUGCAUUCCGCUUCAUCUCCCUCUAAGACAUAUUUUUUUAAUUUAUAUAUUUUUAUUUUUAUUUUUAUUUUUUAUUUUUUGUCUCUGGGUGCUGCUUCGGUGGAUUUCUCCAACCAUCGCAAAAUCUACCGUGGUGCGGGCGUGACGCUAGGGCAC